GUCUAUAUAUACCCUGUAGAACCGAAUUUGUGUGAAAAAAUAACAUUCACAGAUUCGAUUCUAGGGGAGUAUAUGGUC
rnacentral:pre_miRNA from 1 species